AGGGCACCGCCAGGAGUGGAGCCUGCGGCUUAAUUUGACUCAACACGGGAAAACUCACCCGGCCCGGACACUGUAAGGAUUGACAGACUGAGAGCUCUUUCUUAAUUCAGGGGGUGGUGGUGCAUGGCCGUUCUUAGUUGGUGGAGCGAUUUGUCUGGUUAAUUCCGAUAACGAACGAGACUCUGGCCUAUUAAAUAGACGAGGUAUCUAAAUGUAUCUCGCGCUUCUUAGAGGGACAAGCGGCGUCUAGUCGCAUGAAAAAGAGCAAUAACAGGUCUGUGAUGCCCUUAGAUGUCCGGGGCUGCACGCGCGCUACACUGAAAGUAUCAGCGUGCAUUUUAAACCUAGUCCGGUAGGAUUGGGUAACCCGAGUAAAUUCUUUCGUGCUUGGGAUAGGGAAUUUGCAAUUAUUUCCCUUAAACGAGGAAUUCCCAGUAAAUGCGGGUCAUAAGCUCGCGUUGAUUACGUCCCUGUCCUUUUGUACACACCGCCCGUCGCUACUACCGAUUGGAUGACUUU
rnacentral:rRNA from 1 species